UCAGGGAAAAACAUGCUGUGAAUUCCAUUAUUAAAGCGUACUGUCUCAGCAUGGAAGAAGUGUGCGCUGGUCAGGGCACAUGGCCUGUGGCCUGUGUCAGUACCUUGGGGUGGCACCGAUGCAGGAGAGCCCGGUUGCUCCGGGUUUGGAGCUUCGGCGCCCAGGCUGCAGACUCCAGACCUGGGAGCUUCUGCCUGAGCAAAGGGAGAUGCGCGCCACUGCGGGCGUCUAGCUGCCUGCGCCCAGAGCUCGCAAGGACCUCAACCUGAGAAAGACACUGGAGCCUGGCACCUGGGUUGGACUUCUGACACAUUGGCGCAGCUGCUCCAGGUCUAGACAUGGGAUAGAAAAACCCGGUCCAGAUGCAAAGAUCAAGUCCACACCGGCUCCAAAGCCGGGAUAGGGGGAUCAAUUACAAGGGUGCUGGGGCUGAGCAAAUUCGGCCACAGCGACCGAACCUGCGGGGUCUUUUGUGUCUGGGCGUGGAGGGUCGUUAGGACUAGAAAAAGGAGAAAGAAAGUUCCUAGCAGAGAGCGUGUCCCUGCCUCUCCGGAGACCUUCUUCGCAGCUCCUGCGCCGCACAGGAAGUCUUGCCAAACCCGGUGUUGGAGCGAGCGCUGUAUCCGCACCGGAGGAAAAUGCCCCGAAGUGCCCCAGCGGUCUGGAUUCCAGAAGAGAAGUCGUGAGGAUGCGCGCUGCAGGGCCAGGGGUGCACGGGGUAUCACGCCGCAGCUCGGUCCUCGGACAAUUCUGGGACCCGCGCGAGGUUUCCCAGACGGAGAACGGAUUCUGCUGAGAGGAGAUCGAAGCUGAGACAGCACACGAGGCCCAAGUGGCGCGCAGACAGCUCGGGGCGAGCACCCGGGAGCAAGCGGUUUCUGCGGGCCGGACUGGCGGCCGCCCUGGACCCGCAGGUUCCGGACCGGGACGAGAAGUGUCAGAGAAAGAGUCAGAUCUAUGGAGGUUGUAGCCACGGCCUCGGCCACAGCUUCGGGAAUCCCAAGCCAAACCAAUGGGCCUUGGAGCCCAAAGCACCAAAGCCACCAAAAGCAACGUUCGCCAACCUCUGUCACCCGGAGGUCGGGAGCCUCGGUGGCUGCCGCCGCGCCGUUACUCCCGGGUGACUUUGCGAAACGCACAGAUGGGGACGCCUCCGGCCCGGCACGCAGGGCCGGCUGAUGGAUCGUCUCAUUUCCCGACUUGAUGGGCCGGAACCUGGGG